rnacentral:lncRNA from 1 species
UGCCGUUGUAAGCCAUCCACUGCACUUUGAAAUGACUGGUGGAGCUAUCAUAUUCAUUGAUACUUUCAAUUGCUUAGUGUAGUAGCAUAGAUAGAUGUUCUGAUGCGAUCUCUUCACUUUCAUCGUUCUGAUGCGAUCUCUCACUUUCCAUAGUGCAUCUGUAGGAAAGAAUAACUCUUAAUGGAUAGGGCUUAGGUACCUGAAGAAGGAAAUGUUUACUGCCGGCGCGGGACGAGAGGCUCAAGCUUUGUUCAAAACCAGCACUGUUCCCUAUAAGGAAAGAGGAAAGUGAAGGCAUAGAGCGCGAAGUAGACUGGAAAUAGCUCCAAUCCAUGAUUGUUAGAACGCUUUCUCGAAGGGCUAAAAGCAAGUACCUGGUUCUCAGCAUGAUUCAAAGACUUAUAAAGGGAGUGAUGAACUUUCAGCAUACAAGCUUACGCCCUGAGCUAGGGCUUCGACCCCCGCCGUAGUAAGAGAGACUACAAGAACACUAAUUCGCCUAAGAAAUCAGAACCAUUGCUGAUUGAUGACCUACUACUAUCAAAUCAGAACCAUUGCUGAUUGAUGACCUACUCAAAGAAGGAAUUAAUAAAUCAAAGCUUAGCUCCGCUCGCAACGGCUCACUCAUUCCGUAGAUAGAUUGGGACCCCAAAGGAGAAAGAAAGAUUGAUUGAUUUCGCACCCUUCCAACUAGGCCUAGUAUAGUACCUCCCAACACCAUUAAUGAACCCGCCGCGGAAAGAUAACUUCGAAGGUAUAGCUCGGGCUGCC